CAGGACCGUUUGACUUCUGAGUGUUGGCAGAGGGACUCUAGUUGUCGAACAGACUAGACAAUUGAAAUGAUUCAAAGACGACUUCGACAGAAAAAGGGUUAAUAAUCCUAGGCUCAACAUUAAAUCAAAGCCUAAUUGGAUUGUUGCCUUUUGGACACCACAAUUUAUUACUAGAAGCAAGACCUUUUAAGAGCAAACUGCGUAGUCAUUUGACCAUCUCCGUUGGAAAAUUUCAAGGACCACUCCCUACGUUAUCCAUUUUUAAAAGACACGUCAGUUCAUCAAGAGAAGUCACCUGUGCAGUGGUAUGAAUAAUGUAACCAAAGUUUGUAGUAUCGAUGGUUUAUCGGGUUAUUAAAUGUUCCGCAGAUG